rnacentral:ncRNA from 1 species
GAAAGCCGUAUGAGGGAAAACCUCACGUACGGUUUGAUGAGGAGGGGCUGAAGAUACUUCAGUCCUUCACUCUAGU